GAUGAACGCUGGCGGCGUGCCUAACACAUGCAAGUCGAGCGAUUCUCUUCGGAGAAGAGCGGCGGACGGGUGAGUAACGCGUGGGUAACCUGCCCUGUACACACGGAUAACAUACCGAAAGGUAUGCUAAUACGAGAUAAUAUGCUUUUAUCGCAUGGUAGAAGUAUCAAAGCUUUUGCGGUACAGGAUGGACCCGCGUCUGUUUAGCUAGUUGGUAAGGUAACGGCUUACCAAGGCGACGAUCAGUAGCCGACCUGAGAGGGUGAUCGGCCACAUUGGAACGGAGACGCGGUCCAAACUCCUACGGGAGGCAGCAGUGGGGAAUAUUGCACAAUGGGCGAAAGCCUGAUGCAGCAACGCCGCGUGAGCGAUGAAGGCCUUCGGGUCGUAAAGCUCUGUCCUCAAGGAAGAUAAUGACGGUACUUGAGGAGGAAGCCCCGGCUAACUACGUGCCAGCCGCCGCGGUAA
rnacentral:rRNA from 1 species